rnacentral:snRNA from 1 species
GUGCGCACUUCAGCAGCACAUAUACUAAAAUUGGAAUGAUAGAGAAAAGAGCAGCAUGGCCCCUGUGCAAGGCUGACACUCAAAUUCAUGAAGCAUUCCAUAUUUUU